AUUGAACGCUGGCGGCAGGCCUAACACAUGCAAGUCGAGCGAGCGGCGGACGGGUGAGUAAUGUAUGGGGACUGCCCGAUCGAGGGGGAUAACUACUGGAAAAGGUAGCUAAUACCGCAUACGAUCGCAUAACCCAUAUGGGAUUAGCUAGUAGGUGAGGUAAUGGCUGACCUAGGCGACGAUCCCUAGCUGGUCUGAGAGGAUGAGCAGCCACACUGGGACUGAGACACGGCCCAGACUCCUGCGGAGGCAGCAGUGGGGAAGAUUGCACAAUGGGCGCAAGCCUGAUGCAGCCAUGCCGCGUGUAUGAAGAAGGCCCUAGGGUUGUAAAGUACUUUUGGCAGAGAAGCGGUAUCUGCAGAAUAAGCACCGGCUAACUACGUGCCAGCAGCCGCGGUAAUUC
rnacentral:rRNA from 1 species